rnacentral:rRNA from 1 species
GACGAACGCUGGCGGCGUGCCUAACACAUGCAAGUCGAACGGGGUAAAGAGCUUCGGUUCUUUACUUAGUGGCGAACGGGUGAGUAACGCGUGAGAAACCUGCCUUUCAGUGGGGGACAACAGUUGGAAACGACUGCUAAUACCGCAUAAUGUUAUUUGAGGGCAUCCUCGGAUAACCAAAGAUUUAUUGCUGAAAGAUGGUCUCGCGUCUGAUUAGAUAGUUGGUGGGGUAACGGCCUACCAAGUCGACGAUCAGUAGCCGACCUGAGAGGGUGAUCGGCCACAUUGGGAUUGAGACACGGCCCAA